CAACAGAGCAAGAGUCUGUCAAAAUAAAAAAGAAGAAAAAAAGAAGAAAGAUUUUAAUUAUUUUUAUCAACAAUUAUACAUUUUCAGUCUACUGUUAUGAAUUGCCACAACUUGGAGGCUUAGAACAACACAAAUUAGUACUCUCACAGUCCUGAAGGCUACAGCUCUGCAAUCAAGAUAUCAGCAAGGCCAUCAUUCCACUAAGGCUCUAAGGAAGAAUCCAUUUUUGCCUCUUCCUGCUUCUGGGAUGCAUCCACUUUAUUAGACGGCAAACUAGAAAAUGCUUCCUACAGUCGCCACAUAAAAAGAAUUAUCAUCAUGCCAAACAAAUUAUCAUCGGUGCCAAUGAUGUGAGAAUUGAGCAGAAAGAGCAAUGCAACAGGUUUUCUUUUCUGGCCAUGCCAAGGUGGAAGGUGAUCUUAAUUGAAGAAAGAAUGCUCAAAGUAGGCAAUGCUAUGUCUUAUCAACAAAUACUUACCAGCAUGUACAUUGCUGCUCAGAAACACAUUUGAUGAUGGAUCAGAAGUUUCCUCCUAUUUAAUGUGGUGAUAAAAAUAACUUCUAAGUAAUUCAGUUCAUAGAACCAUGAAGGACUGGGUUUGAGAUUAUGCUUUGAAUACCAUAAAGUGAUGAACACAGAGACUGAGAAAAAAAGAGGAGGAGAAGGAGUGGAAGGAUAAAUAUGAAGAUGUGGCCUUCCUGACUUUAAGUUUGGCUUAAG
rnacentral:lncRNA from 1 species